rnacentral:rRNA from 1 species
AGCGAACGCUGGCGGCAGGCUUAACACAUGCAAGUCGAACGGGCACUUCGGUGUCAGUGGCAGACGGGUGAGUAACGCGUGGGAACAUACCUCUUGGUUCGGAACAACACAGGGAAACUUGUGCUAAUACCGGAUAAGCCCUUACGGGGAAAGAUUUAUCGCCGAGAGAUUGGCCCGCGUCUGAUUAGCUAGUUGGUGUGGUAAAAGCGCACCAAGGCGACGAUCAGUAGCUGGCUGAGAGGAUGAUCAGCCACAUUGGGACUGAGACACGGCCCAAACUCCUACGGGAGGCAGCAGGUGGGGAAUAUUGGACAAUGGGCGCAAGCCUGAUCCAGCCAUGCCGCGUGAGUGAUGAAGGCCCUAGGGUUGUAAAGCU